GACCCUAUCGUCUAGUCCGGUCAGGACACCGGCCUUUCACGCCGGCAACACGGGUUCGAAUCCCGUUGGGGUCACCA
rnacentral:tRNA from 1 species